rnacentral:rRNA from 1 species
GAACGCGGCGGGUGCCUAAACAUGCAAGUCGAGCGGUAACAGGUGUAGCAAUACAUGCUGACGAGCGGCGAACGGGUGAGUAAUGCUUCGGAAUCUACCCUAUGGUGGGGAAUAACCAGCCGAAAGGUUGGCUAAUACCGCAUACGUCCUACGGGAGAAAGCAGGGGAUCGUAAGACCUUGCGCCGAUGGAUGAGCCGAAGUCGGAUUAGCUAGUUGGUGAGGUAACGGCUCACCAAGGCGACGAUCCGUAGCUGGUCUGAGAGGACGACCAGCCACACUGGGACUGAGACACGGCCCAGACUCCUACGGGAGGCAGCAGUGGGGAAUAUUGGACAAUGGGGGCAACCCUGAUCCAGCGACGCCGCGUGUGUGAAGAAGGCCUGCGGGUUGUAAAGCACUUUUAGUGGGGAUGAAAAGUGCAGAGCUAAUAUCUCUGCAUCUUGACCUAACCCACAGAAAAAGCACCGGCUAACUCUGUGCCAGCAGCCGCGGUAAUACAGAGGGUGCAAGCGUNAAUCGGAAUUACUGGGCGUAAAGCGUGCGCA